rnacentral:rRNA from 1 species
CACGUAGGGGGCAAGCGUUGUCCGGAUUUAUUGGGCGUAAAGAGCUCGUAGGCGGCUUAGUAAGUCGGGUGUGAAACCUCCAGGCUCAACCUGGAGACGCCACCCGAUACUGCUGUGGCUAGAGUCCGGUAGGGGAGAGUGGAAUUCCUGGUGUAGCGGUGAAAUGCGCAGAUGUCAGGAAGAACACCCGUGGCGAAGGCGGCUCUCUGGGACGGUACUGACGCUGAGACGCGAAAGCGUGGGGAGCGAACAGG